CCUACGGGUGGCAGCAGUAGGGAAUAUUGCUCAAUGGGGGAAACCCUGAAGCAGCAACGCCGCGUGGGGGAUGAAGGUUUUCGGAUUGUAAACUCCUUUUGUUAGAGAAGAUAAUGACGGUAUCUAACGAAUAAGCACCGGCUAAUUCCGUGCCAGCAGCCGCGGUAAUACGGAGGGUGCAAGCGUUAAUCGGAAUCACUGGGCGGAAAGAGCGCGGAGGCGGGAUAGCAAGUCAGAUGUGAAAUCCUAUGGCUUAACCAUAGAACUGCAUUUGAAACUGUUAUUCUAGAGUAUUGGAGAGGUAUGUGGAAUUCUUUGUGUAGCGGUCAAAUCCGUAGAUAUCACGAGGCAUACUCAUUGCGAAGGCGACCUGCUAGAACAUAACUGACGCUGAUGCGCGAAAGCGUGGGUAGCAAACAGGAUUAGAUACCCUGGUAGUC
rnacentral:rRNA from 1 species